CGGGCACACAUUGGAGCAGGGAAAGAGUGUGAGGAGUCCUCCUCCUGAGGAGGAAGGAGUGAGUGGCAGACACAAUGAACUGACUGCAACCUCCACUCCCUGUCCCCCUGAGCUGGAGGGGGAGGAGGUAGAGAAUUUGGGAGUAAAGUUGAGCCCAGGAAAAAGGGAGGGAUGAAUCAGUUAGUGAAGAAUUCAUGACUCAUUCCUACAAAAAAAUUUCUUGAACUUCCCCACCUAUGUGGCCUGAGGAUCAUACCCCUACUGACUUAUCUUCUAGCAAGCUUUCUCAUUUCAUCAGCAAGAAGUUCUUAAUUUUCUUUUUGAUAUUGCAUCCAUGAGGACAUGGUUGUUGAGUUAUCACUGAAAUGGAAGGCAUGAUCAAACUCAAGAUUUCUAGCAUUACAAUCUGACUACAAGCACAGCUGAUAGUUCUGCUGACUAUUUUGUGAGUUCAGUACUAUAGCAGCACUGGAUGCAAGCUUCAGCAAAUCUAUUUAAAAGGUAUUAUCUUGCAAGAUUUGAAAGACACUGACAGGAGACAGAUGAUGGAAUGACUUUCUUCUUUUGCCUGAGCAAAAAAAAAUUGCAUUGCUGCUCUGCUGUGCAAAUAAAUCACUAUCUCAAGUCCUGAGUGGUGUAAAAGCACAGAAGUGGCUUGAAACAACUCAUCAGUGACAUCCAAAUAGUCCUCUUUGUAAAUAUAAUUCACAAAUCUAGAAUAAACAGAAAGUCAACUGUCUUCAGUGUUGCAGGACUGCACCAAAACUGGUUUUAAAAGAUACCAAGUAUAAUUUAAAGUGAUUCCAUAAGGUUAAAGAACUUGGAUCUCUCCCUGUCAUAUGUGCAAAUUCAGAAUCCUUUGAAUGGUGUUGCUACUGCAGUGCAAGUAAAAUGAUAGUCAUACUCUAUCAUAUGUAAAUAUUAAGCUGAACAGAUUUUAAAUUCCCAUUGGCUGGGAAAUGGAGUAAUUCCAUAACCUCAGUGAAGUUAUUUUGAUUUUAUAGUAACAUAGUAUAGCCCUUGGUCUCUUAUCUUCUCUAAUGUAUGUUGUGCGGAAUUUUAAUGUUGCUCAGGAAUUAACAGAAGUAUCAAUCAUACUUUAGCAAAGCCUCAAAAUACUUUCUAGUCAUAUGGAUUAUCACAAAAAUACUGAAAAUGUAAAAGGACUCGCAAUUCUGAUUUUAAUAGUUAGUGCAUGGCCAUGCUCAUAUAUGAAGAAUCUUUCUUGAAAAGUGACAUAGGAAUUGAAACAAAAUAUAAUUUAAAAUUGUAGAAUUUAUAAUAAUAUGUUUCACAUAGGCACUGUGUAAAUAAGGAUGUAGAUUGAAAAUUUUUUUGUAAGUGAUUAUAAUGUAAGUUUGAAUACCUUAGAUGCCAGUGACCAAAGCUGAACUUCUAAAUGGGGUCCAAACUGUCUCAGAUGGAGCAGCCAAAAUUUCCAGUAGUUUCUAUACAUCCUGGCUGCUAUGAACCUGAGGUGAUAUCAGAGGGAUGUGAAGUUACUUAAAAUAAUUUUGCAUUAGAUUGUGUGUCAAAGCUGAGUAUCGUCUGUUUGAACAUCUAUGCUGUCUACUUACAUCACAUGUAAGGAAAACAUAAAUGUAAUAAUUUAAUGUGUGUUGCUUCUAUCAGCAUCAGUGAGCCAUCUUGUUUCCUUACUUUCUACUAAAGUGUAAUAUAGAGGUUGUUUGCACUACUCUGCCAUGAAAUAGUACAAAUGUUCUUUUAGGUACAUUGUUUAACAUAUAUAUCAUAGGUAAGAAGGGGCCAUUUUGUUUGCACAACUUGUGUUAGAAAAUAGAUUUAAAAAUAUCUGUGGCUCAAGUUAUGUAGAUAUGGUAGUGGAUACUUUU